AUUUUCACCAAUUAAGAGCAAUUCGUUGCAAUUGUAACACUAAACUGACGUAAAUUCCUCGUACAUUCUAUUUCCCAAAUGAGCCCCUCUAAUUCCAAGUAGAGUGGUGAUUGACUGGCCCUAGUAUUCCUCUUCCCCAUUAAUCCAUCAAAGCCUUCCAGUAUACUAUACCACCCUUUUCCCGAACAGCUUUCUUAGACUUUCCAUGAUACAUCCAUAAAGCACCAUCUGCGCGGUAUAGCCAGUAAAGUUUCCUCCUCUACCGAUCUACUAUGGCUAGUCCUCUGAGUAAGUGAAACAUGUGCCUCAGCCCAAAGCAAAGAUUUCGAUUCUGUCAAUUUGAGAGUAUCUCUGGGAUCAACAUCCAUGUUGCUAAAAUUUUAUUUUUAGGGUUAGCUUUUGGAAUCUUUACUCUUUUAAUAAAAUUAAAGUUGACCGAUAUGUGUUUAGUUUUGUGUAUAUUAAACACUUUAAAAGUUGAUUUUAAGUUUGAUGAACUGUUUGAUGCUAUUUUGUUACAUAUUUUAUUUUAUGGUUUGGAAAACUUCCAAGGAGUGUUCUAACAAAUAGGGUCUCAGAUGAAUAGUAAGUUUCAGGUUUAGAAGACUUCUUGGGAAGACUUCCUUGAAAAUCUUCUGAAUAGAAAAUAUGUAACCUAAUUAGAAUUUUCGUCUCCCUAGAUAAAGAAAAUUUACGCAUUCUCACUCUUCCUCUCAAAUGUCUGCAACAAAAAUGUUAUGUUUCUUGCUCUAAAACUCUUCAACCUCUCUUUACUCUCUUUGAACUUGAAAACACUAAACUUAUAUCAAUUUCUCAUUUUUUUUGUCUCAUGUC
rnacentral:lncRNA from 1 species